rnacentral:tRNA from 1 species
AUUUAGUUAGUUUAAUAAAAAAUAUUGAUUUGUGGUAUCAAAGAUAUUUAGUUAUACUAAAUU